ACCAGCCUUUACUUCCCCUUUCUUUCGCUGCAGCCUCAUCCUGGGGAGCACAGCGCUGUGUGCAGACGUGCCUUGGGCAUGGCAAGAAGGAGCUGGGAUGCCAGGGGUGCUGGUACCCUGCUCUUGCUGAGCUGGCUUGCAGGUGCCAGCGAGAUAGAGACGGAGACCUGCAGCUCCCCAGGUGACUUUCCCCCACCAGCACUCUUCUCAAACAGCUCUUCAGCUCAGGAAGGCGACUUGGUUCUGGCACGCUGCCUUGUUUUUUCCCACUUCCCCGUUGCCCGCAUCUUCUUCUGCAAGAACGGGGUGGAGCUGGCAAACCACCCAGUUGGGAAAGGGCAGUUCACCUCCACGCUCACCUUCCGGCUCUCCCCAGAGAGCAGCGGCACCUACUCCUGCGGGUACCUGCGCCUGAGCAGCCUCGGACAGGUCAAGCUUUCGAGGCUGAGUGUCCCGUGGCUCCUGAGUGCUGGAGGCAGGAAGGAUGCUCCAAGGAAUGACAGCACUGCCCCGAGCCCAGAGCUGGCAGCUGAAGGAAAGCGAGUCCAGCUGGCCAAGUUAAAGGCUUUCAUCUCCUGCUAGAAGGUCACAACACCUCACAAACACUGUGAAGGAAGAAAAGUCCAGGAGCCUUUUGCAGUCCUGCUGCUGGACCAGAGAAAUGCAUUGGGGUGCUGAGGACUGCUGCACAAGCCACUCUGAUAUCUGCAGUGCCCCACAGCCAUGUCAGGGGUAAUUGGCCCAGGAUGAUACGCCUUGGGUCARUGCCACCUGCACUGUGUAGGCAAUUGCCGAAAGCACCUCCUCAGCCUUUGCAGUGUCCUGAGCACCCAGCUGCUCCAUCUGCAGCCCCAGAGACACAGCACUCAGCCACAAAAUGCAGCUCUACUGCCAGAGCCAGCAGAGUUUGCUCCAGGCUCCUGGGAGCAGCUGUGAACAUUGCAGUGGAUCAGGAGCAAGAAGGUGCAUUCAUUAAAAAGGUGCUUCACCCUCUGAUUCUUGGUCCUUUUUAGUGGUCUCUGAAAGGCUAGGAGCUGAGAUCCUCCACCAGAUGCAGCUAGGAGCCAGAGUCCUAGGGGAGUCUCAGCUGUAGAGCUUGCCUCAGACAGGCACGGUUGGAGCCCAUAAAGAUGUAAGGGCUGGACUGCAUUUCGCAAAGGCACAGCCAGCACAAAGAACCGCUUGCCAGCAGCACCCAAGAGAGGAAGAGGCUACACCUGGCAGGACUCUCCAUCAGAGCCAUUUUGCACACUGUUCACCAAACACCUGAUGCAACAGACCCAUUCAACAGGGACAAAGGGUGAAGGGAAAGGGGAGAAGCUGGGUUUGCUCCAUAUCGCCCUGCCCCUAAUACCACUCUCUGGAGGGAGGAAAGUGGGGGGGUGUCAGGUCAUCGGAC
rnacentral:lncRNA from 1 species